UACGUAGGAGACGAGCGUUGUCCGGAAUUACUGGGCGUAAAGCGCGUGUAGGCGGAUGAGCAAGUCUGCUGUGAAAGCUCCUGGCUUAACCGGGAGUGGUCGGUGGAAACUGCUCGUCUGGAGGACGGUAGAGGUAGGUAGAAUUCCCGGUGUAGUGGUGAAAUGCGUAGAGAUGUGGAGGAACACCGAUGGCGAAGGCAGCCCCCUGGGCUAACACUGACGCUCAGGCACGAAAGCGUGGGGAGCAAACAGG
rnacentral:rRNA from 1 species